AAUGCUCACUUCAGCCUCACACACUAAAAUUGGAAUGAUUAUAGAGAAGAUCAGCAUGGUUCCUGCACAAGGAUGACACACGAAUCCAUGAAGUGGUCCAUAUUUUU